rnacentral:rRNA from 1 species
AGUGAACGCUGGCGGUAGGCCUAACACAUGCAAGUCGAACGGCAGCACAGUAAGAGCUUGCUCUUACGGGUGGCGAGUGGCGGACGGGUGAGGAAUACAUCGGAAUCUACUUUUUCGUGGGGGAUAACGUAGGGAAACUUACGCUAAUACCGCAUACGACCUACGGGUGAAAGCAGGGGAUCUUCGGACCUUGCGCGAUUGAAUGAGCCGAUGUCGGAUUAGCUAGUUGGCGGGGUAAAGGCCCACCAAGGCGACGAUCCGUAGCUGGUCUGAGAGGAUGAUCCGCCACACUGGAAGUGAGACACGGCCCAGAGUCCUACGGGAGGCAGCGGUGGGGAAUAUUGGAAAAUGGGCGGAAGCCUGAUCCAGCCAUACCGCGUGGGUGAAGAAGGCCUUCGGGUUGUAAAGCCCUUUUGUUGGGAAAGAAAAGCAGCAGGUUAAUACCCCGCUGUUCUGACGGUACCCAAAGAAUAAGCACCGGCUAACUUCGUG